UGUCUGUAUAGGUUGCACUGUGUAAAUACAGCUGUUUCUCAAAACACGCCUCUUUUGGGGAGAUCUUGAAUAUUCAUAGAAAAUUAAUUGUGUUUACAUACUGGUUCCCAGUUAUUCUGUCUGUGUUCCAUCUCACAGAGACAUAACUUGGGAAUGUUAUCAGUAAAUUAACAUGUGCAUAUUGUUUACAUUGAAAUCUGUGGUAACCUUUCAUUCGAGGUAGGGGUAGUUAAAAAAAUUAGUGUUAGUUUAAACUC
rnacentral:lncRNA from 1 species